rnacentral:rRNA from 1 species
AGAGAUGCACUGGGUGUAAAGGGUGCGCAGGCGGUUUUGUAAGACAGAGGUGAAAUCCCCGAGCUCAACCUGGGAACUGCCUUUGUGACUGCAAGGCUGGAGUGCGGCAGAGGGGGAUGGAAUUCCGCGUGUAGCAGUGAAAUGCGUAGAUAUGCGGAGGAACACCGAUGGCGAAGGCAAUCCCCUGGGCCUGCACUGACGCUCAUGCACGAAAGCGUGGGGAGCAAACA